rnacentral:rRNA from 1 species
GAUGAACGCUGGCGGCGUGCCUAAUACAUGCAAGUCGAGCGAACGGACGAGAAGCUUGCUUCUCUGAUGUUAGCGGCGGACGGGUGAGUAACACGUGGAUAACCUACCUAUAAGACUGGUAUAACUUCGGGAAACCGUAGCUAAUACCGGAUAAUAUUUUGAACCGCAUGGUUCAAAAGUGAAAGACGGUCUUGCUGUCACUUAUAGAUGGAUCCGCGCUGCAUUAGCUAGUUGGUAAGUUAACGGCUUACCAAGGCAACGAUGCAUAGCCGACCUGAGAGGGUGAUAGGCCACAUGGGAACUGAGACACGGUCCAGACUCCUAAGGGAGGCAGCAGUAGGGAAUCUUCCGCAAUGGGCGAAAGCCUGACGGAGCAACGCCGCGUGAGUGAUGAAGGUCUUCGGAUCGUAAAACUCUGUUAUUAGGGAAGAACAUAUGUGUAAGUAACUGUGCACAUCUUGACGGUACCUAAUCAGAAAGCCACGGCUAACUACGUG